ACGUUCGGAUUGCAGGCUGNAACCCGCCUGCAUGAAGCCGGAAUCGCUGUAAUCGCGGAUCAGAAUGCCGCGGUGAAUACGUUCCCGGGUCUUGUACACACCGCCCGUCACACCAUGGGAGUCGGGAAUGCCCGAAGUCAGUGGCCCAACCGGAAGGGGGGAGCUGCCGAAGGCAGGCCCGGUGACUGGGGUGAAGUCGUAACAAGGUAGC
rnacentral:rRNA from 1 species